rnacentral:lncRNA from 1 species
GAUUAACUACUAGUUGAGGAUGAAGUUUUGCUUUAACUUAUGGAAUUUUUCAUACACCUUUUUUAUCUAGAUAAAUUGCUUUUCCAGUUCUCAUGCAUUUACAUGUUUGGACUUUUUAUUAUUGCAAAUUGACAUGGAUGAUUUUGAAUAUAUGGUAAACAAAAGAAUACAGCUUAAUGGAUACUUUAAGGGCGUGUUUGACAAAAAACUUCGUUUGACAUUUUAGUUUUAACAGCUAUUUUUGCCAAACACGGCCUAAAUCUAACAAACUUGUAAAUAAACUAAGCAGGGUUAUGAACAGCAUAUGUAAAAAUCCCUUCACUUCAAAUCUAUUUAUGGUAUCCAUGAGAUAAAUCUA